rnacentral:rRNA from 1 species
AGUGAACGCUGGCGGCAGGCUUAACACAUGCAAGUCGAGCGGGGUGAUGGUGCUUGCACUAUCACUUAGCGGCGGACGGGUGAGUAAUGCUUAGGAAUCUGCCUAUUAGUGGGGGACAACAUCUCGAAGGGGAUGCUAAUACCGCAUACGUCCUACGGGAGAAAGCAGGGGAUCACUUGUGACCUUGCGCUAAUAGAUGAGCCUAAGUCGGAUUAGCUAGUUGGGGGGGUAAAGGCCUACCAAGGCGACGAUCUGUAGCGGGACUGAGAGGAGGAGCCGCCACACUGGGACUGAGACACGGCCCAGAGUCCUACGGGAGGCAGCAGUGGGGAAUAUUGGACAAUGGGGGGAACCCUGAUCCAGCCAUGCCGCGUGUGUGAAGAAGGCCUUAUGGUUGUAAAGCACUUUAAGCGAGGAGGAGGCUCUUUUGGUUAAUACCCAAGAUGAGUGGACGUUACUCGCAGAAUAAGCACCGGCUAACUCUGUGCCAGCCGCCGCGGUAA